UACGGAGGGGGCUAGCGUUGUUCGGAAUUACUGGGCGUAAAGCGCACGUAGGCGGCUUUGUAAGUUAGAGGUGAAAGCCCAGGGCUCAACCCUGGAAUUGCCUUUAAGACUGCAUCGCUUGAACAUCGGAGAGGUAAGUGGAAUUCCGAGUGUAGAGGUGAAAUUCGUAGAUAUUCGGAAGAACACCAGUGGCGAAGGCGACUCACUGGACAUGUAUUGACGCUGAGGUGCGAAAGCGUGGGGAGCAAACAGG
rnacentral:rRNA from 1 species